AAGAGAAAAAACGGAGCGUGGUUAAGAAACAGAGCCGAUUUAUUCAGAAACCCUUAAGAAACCAGCAGAAUUGGGGACUGCAAAUUGAACCCAAAUUCCAUCCCAAAGCCGUCAUUCUAAUCUAUGGAGCAGCAGCAUCCAUCAAGAGGAGAUACAAAUUGGAGGGAAGGACUGCAAUUUUGUUUCAUCUUACAGCCACGAAAGCUGUCGUCAGACAGCUAAGUCGGCGGAAAGCUGGAAAACGGAGCUGAGAGUGUUGAGCGAAACCUGCAAAACAGAGCCCGAAAGCUACCGGCAUCAUUUGGCGAAAGAGUGAACUCUUCGUCAGUGGAGCAAUAGGAAUUUGUCUUUGUUGGAGCACAUUAUCAACCCGAUCCUAAAUCCGACCAACCUGAUUCGAUUCGAUUCGAUAUUUCUUAGCGGGGCAGAUGCAGGUCGCAUACUCACAAAAAUGGAUACGGAUACGGAUCAGGAAAAUAAAAACUUGCGGUAUCCGAUCGCAGGGUAUAUUAUAUAAAUAUUAAAAAAUUAGGAGUCAUUUUAUAAUUUUUUAAUUUUUAAUCCUAAGUGUAAUUGAAGUGGCUCACAGUCUCAUAUUCUAAUUCCAUAUGAUCUGCCUCUCCUCGUCUUGUUUGAAGAAAGAAAGCGAAUAUUCUUGACGAAGCCUAAACCAAAUGAACAAAACGAAGCAAAAUUUGUGAAACUCGAUCAUAAAAUUUGUUUAUCCCUUUCAUCAUUUUCAUUUUUAUUCUACCUCCAUCGAUCUUUCCUACAAAUCUUUGAUCAAUUCAAUCAAAGAUUUGUGUUUGGAGCUCAAAUGUUCUAUUAGCUAGAUAUUUAAAACAUUUGUGUCUUUCAUUUAUUUAUUUAUUUGAUUUAUUUUAUUGCAAUUAUGUCUCUUAAAUUUGUCUCUUUUAUUUUAGUGAAAGAAAUUUAUUUUUCUUUUCAUCACCUUUAAUGCUAUAAGGUCUAUUCCAAAGAUGUAAGAGAGUUGGGGAAGAUUUUUCAAGCUUAUUUUGAUUAUACUUUCUCCAAAAAUUAUCAACUCUAUUCAAUUCUUUUCCGAACUUGAUUCCACAGUCAACUCAUUUGUGAUGCAGUCUUGUACUAAAAUAUCCUUAAGGAAGUUGGGAAAGUUGUCAAAUACUUAUUAUCUUUAUGUUUGUUAUGUUGUAAAAGGAUGAAAUGUGUGAGAAUGGUGAUGUACUCAAAAUUAUCAUGAAAUUUCAUUUUGUCUAUUAGAUAUUAUAAUUCUUAUAUGUACUAAAUUUAUAAAAUCGAUUUGAUAAUUGGAUGAAAUGUGUGAGAAUGAUGAUGUAUGCACUUUGACUAUAAUAUCUCUACCAAUAUUAAUUGGAAAGCAGGUUUUUGUUAUUGGAAAACACAUUGAUAUUAAGUGGAAAGUAAUUUUUUUAAUUGAAAAAUAGUUUUUUUUAGGGACGGGUACCUAUGAUCCGCCCUUUUUUUUUCGGGUACCCCAAAGAUAUUAGGAGCGGAUUAGAGUUGCAAAAUGGCUGAUCCGAUAUAUUAGGGUCAGGUCAGCCAAAUCAUGUUAGGGAUGGGUACUUGACCCGUGCCCACUCCUACGUUUCUAUCUGUCUUGGAGAUGUCUCAACCGAGUUUUCGGCGAUCUAUUAUCUCAGAAUCAUCUUGUCCCGAUAUCAUAUUGAAUAACUCCGUUUCGGUGACGACUUGGCCGAGUUUUUGAACCAUGGCUGAUCUGGUUGCGAAUCAGAUUGGAUGCUAAGAGGGACAUUUGGGAUCUACAAGCAUAUCCUUUUAGUGGCAGAUAGAUGUCAUUGUAGCAGUUUCCCUCUUUAUUUUUGUUUCCUUUUCUAUUUAGUUGUUUUAAGAGUUUUUUUAUUUUCUUGUGUGCCUAUAAAUAGACUUAGUUAGGGCUAUUGUAAAUCAACCAUUCUCUUGGGCAUAUAAAUUAAAUUAACUCUUUGAGUUGUUGGCUUUGCCAUGUC